GAAAUUUGCUCUUUUAGUAUUUGUCCAGAAGGCUCUCUGUAAAAGAGAGCCCAC
rnacentral:snRNA from 1 species